AGUGAACGCUGGCGGCAGGCCUAACACAUGCAAGUCGAGCGGCAGCGGGCUGUAGCAAUACAGUGCCGGCGAGCGGCGGACGGGUGAGGAAUACAUCGGAAUCUACCUUGUCGUGGGGGAUAACGUAGGGAAACUUACGCUAAUACCGCAUACGAACUACGGUUGAAAGCGGAGGACCGCAAGGCUUCGCGCGAUUGGAUGAGCCGAUGUCGGAUUAGCUAGUUGGCGGGGUAAUGGCCCACCAAGGCGACGAUCCGUAGCUGGUCUGAGAGGAUGAUCAGCCACACUGGAACUGAGACACGGUCCAGACUCCUACGGAGGCAGCAGUGGGAAUAUUGGACAAUA
rnacentral:rRNA from 1 species